rnacentral:rRNA from 1 species
GCGGAUGAAGGGAGCUUGCUCCUGGAUUCAGCGGCGGACGGGUGAGUAAUGCCUAGGAAUCUGCCUGGUAGUGGGGGAUAACGUCCGGAAACGGGCGCUAAUACCGCAUACGUCCUGAGGGAGAAAGUGGGGGAUCUUCGGACCUCACGCUAUCACAUGAGCCUAGGUCGGAUUAGCUAGUUGGUGGGGUAAAGGCCUACCAAGGCGACGAUCCGUAACUGGUCUGAGAGGAUGAUCAGUCACACUGGAACUGAGACACGGUCCAGACUCCUACGGGAGGCAGCAGUGGGGAAUAUUGGACAAUGGGCGAAAGCCUGAUCCAGCCAUGCCGCGUGUGUGAAGAAGGUCUUCGGAUUGUAAAGCACUUUAAGUUGGGAGGAAGGGCAGUAAGUUAAUACCUUGCUGUUUUGACGUUACCAACAGAAUAAGCACCGGCUAACUUCGUGCCAGCAGCCGCGGUAAUACGAAGGGUGCAAGCGUUAAUCGGAAUUACUGGGCGUAAAGCGCGCGUAGGUGGUUCAGCAAGUUGGAUGUGAAAUCCCCGGGCUCAACCUGGGAACUGCAUCCAAAACUACUGAGCUAGAGUACGGUAGAGGGU